GUCACUUUGCCGGAGUGGUUAACGGGAUCGCCUGCUAUUAAUCAAACGUUAGUACAGCGGUUGGGCUUUGCCCGCGAGUGUUCGAAUCGCUCAGGUGACG